GGGACUGGGUGGAUAGUCCCUUCAUGGGUCCCAGGCCCAGAGGGGGUCUUGCUUGGGGUGUGACACUCUAGAGCCUGCUCCAUCCUCAGCACUCCCUCAUCCAUGUGUGCAGGAAGAGGCUCUGCUGCCUCUGGCCAGGCUGUGUUUCGUUAGCAUCUGGGAAGCCACGUCCCAACUACAGAUGUGGUCCAUGUGAUGGGCCCGGCUUGGGGCCUUUGUACUCGCCUUUUGUCUUCUGUGUAUUUUAAGUGCAUUGAGGACUGACGCUGGUGGGUGAGCCGCCCCGUUCUGGGUAGACUUGGACUGAAGUUUCCCUUGAAGCUGGCAUGACUGUAGAUAUUACUUUAAAUGUCUACAGGAGCCAGAGAAGGCUUCUGCACCCCACCUGCCCUUCCACCUGACAGGAGACAUGUGUGAGCUGGUUUCCUCAUGGGUGGACAGAAGGUGAACCUGCCUCCAUGCAGAACCGAACUGGGAACUUUAGGGAGCUCUGAAGGUUAUGACCAUGUAGACCCUCCUCUCUCCAUGUCAGAGUGCCAGAAGGCUCCUUGGCGGUGUCUGGGAAAACCCUCUAUGGACCGCCUGUGGGAAACUCCCAGCUUUCCCCACACCAGCGUUCACAGAAAUUAUUUUCUAGAUCUUCAUGCUGCCAUCACGAGGCCACCUGCACAGGAGGACAUGGGACACAGAAUUAGUGGAAGGAGCAGUGUCAACCCCGGGGACCCUUCCUGACCCCUUUGCUGGGGCCCUUUGUGACUUCCCACCAGUGUUGUGUGACCUUCAGCCAGUUCCUGCACUGAGCAGCCAAUUCCUACAUCUGCUAGAGGCACAGUGACGUGGACACUCUAUGACAAGCAGAGGAUGGACAGUGAGGAGGGCGGAGACCUUUUCUUCAGAGCCUGGCUAGGCCAGGCCCCACCUUCCUGUGACUUCUCCUUCCUAAGCUUUUAAAUCUACCCUGAGCGUGCAGGGUCUUGUGUUACUCAGAGCUGUGCAGGGUAAUGAUGACAUAUUUAUUCUUUUUCCAUUUGUACAUUCAGAUGUUCUUAAUAAAAUUUUCUAGAUGCUGGAAUCCUAGAAACAGUGCCUUUUUCAUUCCAUUAAGUUUUCUUUAGGCUGAGAGCUGUAUAAAACAUUUUGGACUGUGAUUGUGUACCUUUGUAAGGAAAAUAAACUGCUUUAUGGUUGUCAGUA